rnacentral:rRNA from 1 species
UACGGGGGGGGCAAGCGUUGUUCGGAAUUACUGGGCGUAAAGGGUUUGUAGGUGGCCAACUAAGUCAGACGUGAAAUCCCUCAGCUUAACUGGGGAACUGCGUGUGAUACUGGAUGGCUUGGAUUUGGGAGAGGGAUGCGGAAUUCCAGGUGUAGCGGUGAAAUGCGUAGAUAUCUGGAGGAACACCGGUGGCGAAGGCGGCAUCCUGGACCAAUAUUGACGCUGAGGAGCGAAAGCCAGGGGAGCAAACGGG